GAUGAACGCUGGCGGCGUGCCUAAUACGUGCAAGUCGAGCGAACGGACGAGAAGCUUGCUUCUCUGAUGUUAGCGGCGGACGGGUGAGUAACACGUGGAUAACCUACCUAUAAGACUGGGAUAACUUCGGGAAACCGUAGCUAAUACCGGAUAAUAUUUUGAACCGCAUGGUUCAAAAGUGAAAGACGGUCUUGCUGUCACUUAUAGAUGGAUCCGCGCUGCAUUAGCUAGUUGGUAAGGUAACGGCUUACCAAGGCAACGAUGCAUAGCCGACCUGAGAGGGUGAUCGGCCACACUGGAACUGAGACACGGCCCAGACUCCUACGGGAGGCAGCAGUAGGGAAUCUUCCGCAAUGGGCGAAAGCCUGACGGAGCAACGCCGCGUGAGUGAUGAAGGUCUUCGGAUCGUAAAACUCUGUUAUUAGGGAAGAACAUAUGUGUAAGUAACUGUGCACAUCUUGACGGUACCUAAUCAGAAAGCCACGGCUAACUACGUG
rnacentral:rRNA from 1 species